rnacentral:rRNA from 1 species
GACGAACGCUGGCGGCGUGCCUAAUACAUGCAAGUUGAGCGCUGAAGGUUGGUACUUGUACCAACUGGAUGAGCAGCGAACGGGUGAGUAACGCGUGGGGAAUCUGCCUUUGAGCGGGGGACAACAUUUGGAAACGAAUGCUAAUACCGCAUAAAAACUUUAAACACAAGUUUUAAGUUUGAAAGAUGCAAUUGCAUCACUCAAAGAUGAUUCCGCGUUGUAUUAGCUAGUUGGUGAGGUAAAGGCUCACCAAGGCGAUGAUACAUAGCCGACCUGAGAGGGUGAUCGGCCACAUUGGGACUGAGACACGGCCCAAACUCCUACGGGAGGCAGCAGUAGGGAAUCUUCGGCAAUAGACGAAAGUCUGACCGAGCAACGCCGCGUGAGUGAAGAAGGUUUUCGGAUCGUAAAACUCUGUUAGUAGAGAAGAACGUUGGUGAGAGUGGAAAGCUCAUCAAGUGACGGUAACUACCCAGAAAGGGACGGCUAACUACGUG